CUCCUCAUCCACAAACACCCACAUGACAUUGGCAAAUGAAGGGAUGGCUAUGAUUCUACAGCGGGGUCGACAUAUUAAAGGGCACAAUUGGACAAGUUUGUUUCAAAGGCAGGGUUCUUCCUGUUUACCUGGCUGACACACCUGGAAGCUACUGGUAAUCAGCUCACCUCUGUGCAACUGGUUGCUUUACAGCUGAAGAAAUCCCUCACUUCUGGGAAAAGGAGCAUAACCUGGAACAUUAAUGGAGACAUGGAGCAAACAUGAGGAGACAGGCUGAGGAAACAAGGAUGAAACACAAGGAGAGGAACAAAAGAACAGGUUGAGUUUAUCCUUUUGAUCAACAGCAAACGAUCACCCGUUACGCCAAAUAUGUUUACUGACGCAGCCCACGAAGAACCGGAACCGAUGGACUGGACUGCUUACGGUGAACAACCAGGCCGUGCUGCCGGACCAUCUGUCUCCUCCAUGGAUGACGACAUCACCCCAAUGGAGAUAGACUAAAAGGUUCAGCAUACCAAAAGUGAAAGAGGAGGAUGGCAAUCAUAACAUUUCUACUUGGGCUGUUACAGUUGAUCCUGCAACAAUUUUGUUGUUUUUUUGUUUUUUUUUAGAUAAUUUAGUAAUAAUUUUUAACUUUAAUAAGUUAAAAAUAACUUUAAUAAGCUGAUGUAAUCAAGUGUUACUAUAAAAGCAAGUAGAAGUCAAUUUUUUUUUUAAAUGCAGCAGCUGAUUUCUUCCUGUUGGCUUUCACUGGAUGUCUGCCUCUGCUGUAUUUCCUGUCUACUCGUCAAACAUUUCUUGGCUGUUCGCAUAAAAAUGUUAUGUUCCAAAGUUUGAGUAUAGAGUAAAUAACAUUUGGUGAUAAUUUUAGCUACAUAUAUAUCAACUAGUUUGCAAGAUAGUUUAUUAAAAAGGCAGUCAACCCACUUUAAUGCCAUUUUUCCUGCAGAUUGAAAUGUGAGGCAAUGUUUCAACAUGACUAUCUCAAAAACUAUUACAGAUAAAUGCCUGAUGAACACCUUUUUACUGUCUCAUUAUCAUAAAAAAAAUCUGGAUUUUAAAUUUGGUCUGGAUACAUCAAAAAAUUAUGAAAUUUAAGCAGCCUAUUUCAGUGCACACUAAUGAAAAAAUACAUUGGAACAAUUAGAAGAAGACAGUGACAAUUUCUGAAUUAUAUGUAGUUGAAUUUACUGCAAAAUAAAGCAAAUAUCUGAAAAAAUAAUUUUGCUAAAUAUGAAACUGAUUUUACCUACUUAAUAUUUUAAGGCAACACAUGCAUAUAUUUUACAUCACAUCUAGAAUUGUUAUAACAGUGUGUGGAAAAAAUGGUGUGAAAGUGGGUCAACUGACCUUUUUUAUUAAAAAAUGUUUUGAUCAAAUUUAUCAGUAAUCAUUAUAAAUGUAAUUGCCCUAGAUUUUGAAAAAAAAAGUUUUAAAGUGGAUUGACGAACCUUUUUUCACAAGAAUAUAUCUUGAAAAGUACUUGUUAUAUGAACCUAAAAUUACAUAGUACACAUUACAUAUUUUGUACAUAUUUUUUCUCCAAAGACAUUACACAGAUUUGGGACCAAUCAGGAAAAAUAAUCUUAAACCCAGCUCAAAUUAAUUAUGUUUUUUAUGCUAUUUUAUAAACCCCUUUAUAAAUCUGGAUCACAGUAUUAAAACUCAAAUAAAAUACUUUUCUUUGGGGAACUUAAGCUUACCAAGGGUAUAGGCCAAUGGUAAUAAGAAAUUAGAUGAUCCAAUAUAUAUGUCCAAACUGAACUAUAUGUCUAUUCCAAAUUGGAGAAUGUUCUAGAAAUUUAAAUAGAUUAUUAUUUUUAUUCUAAUUUGAGUACAGUUUUUGAGAUGUUCAUUUUCAAGCAUUGCCAUAUAUAGUAUCUGAUAUGCAUUUUUUUCCCCUUUUUUUGUGACAAGUAUUCUAUAUGGUUUAUUUUUCGGUAUUGUAAAAUUCAACUACAUAUCAUUCAGAAAUUAAA